UACGGAGGGUGCGAGCGUUGUCCGGAAUCAUUGGGCGUAAAGGGCGCGUAGGUGGCCCUCGCAAGCGUGCGGUGAAAGCUCGGGGCUCAACCCCGAGUCGGCCGUGCGAACUGCGGGGCUCGAGCACUGUAGAGGCAGGCGGAAUUCCGGGUGUAGCGGUGGAAUGCGUAGAGAUCGGGAGGAAGGCCGGUGGCGAAGGCGGCGCUCUGGAACGUACCUGACGGCUGAGACACGAAAGCGUGGGGAGCA
rnacentral:rRNA from 1 species